CGUAGGGUGCAAGCGUUAAUCGGAAUUACUGGGCGUAAAGCGUGCGCAGGCGGUUAUGUAAGACAGGUGUGAAAUCCCCGGGCUUAACCUGGGAACUGCAUUUGUGACUGCAUAGCUAGAGUACGGUAGAGGGGGAUGGAAUUCCGCGUGUAGCAGUGAAAUGCGUAGAUAUGCGGAGGAACACCGAUGGCGAAGGCAAUCCCCUGGACCUGUACUGACGCUCAUGCACGAAAGCGUGGGGAGCAAACAGGAUUAGAUACCCUGGUAGUCCACGCCCUAAACGAUGUCAACUGGUUGUUGGGUCUUCACUGACUCAGUAACGAAGCUAACGCGUGAAGUUGACCGCCUGGGGAGUACCGCCGCAAGGUUG
rnacentral:rRNA from 1 species